rnacentral:rRNA from 1 species
UUAGGAAUUUUGGGCAAUGGGCGCAAGCCUGACCCAGCAACGCCGCGUGGGUGACGAAGGCCUUCGGGUUGUAAAGCCCUUUUCUGGGGGAAGAUGAUGACGGUACCCCAGGAAGAAGCACCGGCUAACUACGUGCCAGCAGCCGCGGUAAUACGUAGGGUGCAAGCGUUGCCCGGAUUUAUUGGGCGUAAAGGGCGCGCAGGCGGCUGCGCACGUUCGCUGUGAAAGCUCCCGGCUCAACUGGGAGAGGUCGGCGGAUACGGCGCAGCUGGAGCUCGGUAGGGGGUCGUGGAAUUCCCGGUGUAGUGGUGGAAUGCGUAGAUAUCGGGAGGAACACCAGUGGCGAAGGCGGCGACCUGGACCGAAGCUGACGCUGAGGCGCGAAAGCGUGGGGAGCGAUCCG